CCAUGGUUGCCACGGCAGCAGAGGAGCUGAUUCAGGACCAGUUAUCAUUGACCAGGAGAGUUGGUCAGUCAGCCUCUUUCACCUGUGAACAAACUCAGAGGUGUAGUAGUUAUGUUUACUGGUACCAGAAGAAGGAAAUAUUCACUCUGAUUCUGAAUAUUAAUCAGAGGAGCGGUGCUGUAAAUAAAGGUUUUAAUCAUCCUCAGGAAGAUGAUUUCUCAGCUGUUAAUAUCCAGAACGGCUGUGAGUUGAAGAUCGACAAAGUUAAACUCUCUCAUUCAGCCUCCUACUACUGCAGCUGCUGGAAGGGUGAUCCCCACAGUGAGAAAAGAUCCCUGCAGCCUGAACAAAAACCUUCAGAUGAACUGAUGUCAAACAGUGUUAGUGACAGGAAGACAGCAGGAAACCACAGCCCAGGGUCACAGAUUUCACCUCCAGCUCAGACUCUUGUUCUGGACUCUUCUCUGAUAUUGAUUCAUAUUUGGAUGAGAUAUUUCAGCAGCUUUCCUGUUGGUCCACACAGUGAGGACGAAGAAGACACACAGGAGCACAAUAAGAAAACAAGAGGAGGAACUGAAUGAAUCAAAUCCUGAUGAAGAGACCUGACAGACCUGCUCCACCAGAGUCACAAUGUGGUCCAGGAGGAAGGACCAAAGAAGAAGAGACAGUGAUGUUGAUGUGGACAUCAGCUGAAAUAUGAUCCUGGUUCAUAAUGUGGACUCGUUCAGCUCAGCUGACACAUUCAACAGCAGACAGGUUUUUGUAUCAGUCUCUGUCACUGUGUACUUCAUCUUUGGCUCUGGAACUAAACUGUAUGUAACAGAUGAGCCGGUAGUGAAGCCCGUGGUGAGCGUGUACCCGGCAGCAUCCAGAGCCCACCUGGAGGGGAAGAGCUCCCUGCUGUGUCUGGCCUCAGCCAUGUCUCCUCCUCUGGUCCAGUUCUCCUGGAAAAGACAGAAGGAGGACGGUCCUCUGGAGGAGCUGCCCCCUGCCGAGGGAGAGCAGCUGCAGCUCACACAGUUGGGACGGGGACGCUCCGCCGCCAUCUUGACCGUCCGUCAGCCAGAGAACGCCACGUAUAAAUACAUCUGCUCCGUCAGGCACGAGGGCGGCACAGCGGAGGGCCCGACACAACAAGGUGACCGAUUCAGGCUGACUGAUUCAGCUCCACGUGGAGACGCUGACAUUUCUCACUGCAGCUCCAAACAUUGGACUCCUUUUGUGUUUCAGAGGUUCCAGCUCCAGCAGCCUCCUGUCCUCCAGAGACAGAGCCAGCAGUCCUGGCAGCUCAGCAGCAAGCUGACUGUAAGAUCACCUGCUCCUCACUGGAUCUUAGAGUCUGAGGUCAAAGGUCAGAGACAGUGGACAGACUCUGUGAUUCCUUUUCUGUUGCAGUGCUUCCCCUGGAUCCUCUCCAGCCUCAGAGCAGGGUGAAGCUGCUCUGUCUGCUCUACACAGUGCUGAUAGUGAAGAGUCUGGUGUACUGCUGUGGACUCUCUCUGCUGAUGAGCCUCAGAGACGACGGACCGUCCACCAACUACACUGACUGACUUCAUCUCAGUCAUCACAAUUUUCCCUCCCAUGUAUGUUGUUCUUCACAGCUUAGAUAGAAUCAGCUGCUUCUCACACGUUUCCUUCUUCUUUGUGUUUUUCUCCUCCUGUGUGUCGUGUUAGUGCAGAUUCAGCUGACAGACACUUUCAAUAAAACCAGAUCAGAUCUCACUCUGUCACUUUCUGCAGGUUUUUAUUUUAUUCAUUUGUAUUUGACUUCAGAUGAAAUUAUCAGAAACAGAAUAGAUUAUAUUGACUUUGUUCAUUAACAGCUGCAGUCAGUUGACUGUUUAUUCAGAAUAACGUAACCUUUAUUUCUUCGGAGCACAAAAUAUAUUGAUGACUGCUGAAAAUAUACCGGUUAUGAUGUUUAAAAUGGAGAAGGAAAAACAGAAAUUACUAGGAUGGACUGCGGAGCCUGGAUGAACCAAACAAUGCACCACAAUCGACACUGACACAAUUUCUCCUUUUGGAAGUCAAGAAAUCUUCCUUUUCAUGAAAGGUUGUGCAGCAAAGCAGGAAAAUAAAAUGUACAUAAAACAUAAAUAUUACCGGGGUGAAGAAAUAAACAAGUCA
ensembl:lncRNA